rnacentral:rRNA from 1 species
AUGCUGGAGUGCCGUACCAGCAAGUUUUACCUUGACACCUGCCUGGCAUCUAAUUCGAGCCCAGAUGAUGAUCUUGAUCGUAUGGCACACUCAUCAGGGCGUUUCAUAUUUGAUACAAUUAUGACUAUGUUGACAAACAAGGAUAUGCUAUGGGAGUGGGUACAGAAGACGUCAACGACUCCUAGUUCAUACUCCGAGGUCCUCCUGAGACUAGUGGUCACACUUUAUACACUGAUCCUAACUCAGGGUCUUGUGUUCAAAAGAAUAACUAAUGAUCUGCGGAAUUGCUAUGAACUCACAAAUACUCUUCAGCGGUGCGGAAUCUUUGAGCAUUUGCCUUUGGAGUUCUCUGAGAAGAUGGUGCAUGUUUUGCAAAUAAGGCCUCGCACGCCGAGCAACUUCACAAGAGUGCUUGCUGAUGCACUGGAUGCAGUCGGAGAUCCUAUGGUAGUUAUGAUAAUGGCUCUUCUUCGUCCUGGGGAGCCAAGUUGUGUAAAGCAAGAGGCUGCACUGCCAGAAAAAUUUGAUGUUAACAAAAACGUUCCCAAAGCUGUACAAGAUAAUAAGGCGGAGAGUAGAGGUGAAAUAGAUUUAAGUGAUGAGAAUACCCCCUUCUGGGAUAAGUUUGAGACGUUUCAAGUCAACAAGCAAGGGCAGAAAGAUGCAAGGUUCAUUGUUCAAUUCCUUAGGAGUGCCCUCUCACGGCUGGAGCAAACAGGAUUCCAAGAAAAGAUUGAUGCACAAUUGUUGGAAGAGUUCAGGCACAUAUGCAGCGAGUUUGAAGAACGUUCUGCCAGCCCUGAUCGCCCUGGAUGGUCCCCAAAUAUUCACCAUUUGCGGAGGACGGCGAAGACAGCUUGUUUGACUCUAGAGGAUCUAUACUCAAUGUGGCAAGAUGGUGAGAAGAAACUGCGGACGAUCGUCAGCUUGCUGUGUUCCGAAAGGGCGUCCAUGAAAGACGAUGGCAGGAGCAGCGAUGCCGACGCCCACGUGUGUUCAGACGAUGAGCCUGGCGCAGGAGAACCGGCCUCGGCUUCAGCGAAGGUGGCGCAGAAGCAGAGGAGAAAGAAGAAAUCCAAGAAAACCAAAGGCCGCGGCAAGAAGUGA